rnacentral:misc_RNA from 1 species
AAGUCGUAACAAGGUUUCCGUAGGUGAACCUGCGGAAGGAUCAUUAAAAAUGAAGCCGGGAAACCGGUCCUUCUAACCCUUGAUUAUCUUAAUUUGUUGCUUUGGUGGGCCGCGCAAGCACUGGCUUCGGCUAGUUAGUGCCCACCAGAGGACCACAACUCUGUAAUAAAUGUCGUCUGAGUACUAUAAAAUAGUUAAAACUUUCAACAACGGAUCUCUUGGUUCUG